UCAUCAUCAUCAUCAGACACACCUGGGAGAUCCAUUCAUCCUGCAUUCACUCAGUCAGAUCUUCUCAGUUUCAGCUCUGGUUGUUUUCAGGUCUACAUGUUUAAACUCAGAGUUUGUGAUCUUCUCUUUGGCUCCGGAUCACAGAUGGGAUUAUUUUUAUGACCCCUGCAGACGUUUCACCUCAGGCUCCACCUCUGAGCUGAACCUCCACAGUUUACCCCAAAGGAGAGGAGGACAUUCAGCAGCUGGAAGUCAUGAGGAGCUCUCCCCGAUGACAUCAUCGCGUUUACGGCAUGAAGGCCGAGUUUCUCCGUCUGAAACAGUGGUGGCUUGUCCUGCAGCCUGUGUGGCCCAUCAGAACCGGCCGUGAAGGACGUGAGGAUUCUAAACAAACAUCUUCACCAUGUAAACCUGCUGCCUGUCAGAGCUGGCAUCUCCUAUGAGGAAUGAGUUUGGAUAAGAUGGGAAAAUUCUGCUUCUCCCCAGAGGGAUGUCCAAACUCCAGCUUACUUCAACCCAAAGUCCUCUUCAUCUCCUCGUGUGACCCUCCGUGCUGCUGCUGCUUCCAGCUCUGAAAAUCGUCCGUAUCCGAGCGACAUUCCAGUCAGGAAUAGAGCGUCCAGCCCGCUCCAUACCUCCCCCCGUCUUUUCUGGUUUUGUCAUCAUUUUCUCACGUCCGCGCCGUUCUCCAUUAAUCUGCUGGAAGCUGGACGUGUUGCUGUUGUCUGUGAACGAUUCCCCUGAUGCUGAUUUAGAAUGUUUCAGUAGAAACUCACACGUAUCGCUUUCAGCGCAGAAGCAGCCUCUUCUGCUGAGGUCAUGUGAAAGGACAGCGGUUGGAGCCAAACAUUCGGACACAUCACAUUUCAACCAAGAAAUGAGGAAAACUAAAAACUUACCUCCAAAUCUUUUAUACAGUGAGGCAAAAAAGUAUUUUGUCAGCCACAAAUUGUGUAAAUUAUCCCACUUAAAAAGAUGAGCUGUAAUUUUCAUCAUAGAUAAACCUUAACAAUGAGAAUAAAAAUCCU